rnacentral:rRNA from 1 species
CAUGAAGUUGGAAUCGCUAGUAAUCGCGGAUCAGCAUGCCGCGGUGAAUACGUUCCCGGGCCUUGUACACACCGCCCGUCACACCAUGAGAGUCGGGAACACCCGAAGUCCGUAGCCUAACCGCAAGGGGGCGCGGCCGAAGGUGGGUUCGAUAAUUGGGGUGAAGUCGUAACAAGGUAAC